AACCGCUGAGCUAAGCGGG
rnacentral:tRNA from 1 species